GACGUAGGGGGCCAGCGUUGCUCGGAUUUACUGGGCGUAAAGGGCGCGUAGGCGGCCACCGCAAGUCGACUGUGAAAUCUCCGGGCUUAACCCGGAAAGGUCAGCCGAUACUGCGGGGCUAGAGUGCAGAAGGGGCAACUGGAAUUCUCGGUGUAGCGGUGAAAUGCGUAGAUAUCGAGAGGAACACCUGCGGCGAAGGCGGGUUGCUGGGCUGACACUGACGCUGAGGCGCGAAAGCUAGGGGAGCGAACGGG
rnacentral:rRNA from 1 species